rnacentral:rRNA from 1 species
GUGGGGAAUAUUGGACAAUGGGCGAAAGCCUGAUCCAGCCAUGCCGCGUGUGUGAAGAAGGUCUUCGGAUUGUAAAGCACUUUAAGUUGGGAGGAAGGGCAGUAAGUUAAUACCUUGCUGUUUUGACGUUACCGACAGAAUAAGCACCGGCUAACUUCGUGCCAGCAGCCGCGGUAAUACGAAGGGUGCAAGCGUUAAUCGGAAUUACUGGGCGUAAAGCGCGCGUAGGUGGUUUUGUAAGUUGGAGGUGAAAUCCCCGGGCUCAACCUGGGAACUGCCUCCAAAACUGCAUGACUAGAGUACGGUAGAGGGUAGUGGAAUUUCCUGUGUAGCGGUGAAAUGCGUAGAUAUAGGAAGGAACACCAGUGGAGAAGGCGACUACCUGGACUGAUACUGACACUGAGGUGCGAAAGCGUGGGGAGCAAACAGGAUUAGAUACCCGGGUAGUCC